ACAGCAAUAUAAAAUUCAGAAAAUGAAAAUGAAAAUGGAUGAAAAAUUAAUUUUCGUUAUUAAGGUGUAAAUGGGUUAAUUAACGAGGGACAUCACCUGAUUGACCCACACUGAUUUUAGUCCAAUUUUAAUAUAACACAGUUUUUUUUUAGAAAAAUAUUCAUUUUGAAGGGGUGAAAAUAGUCUUUGAAAUUAUCUCUAAUAUCUUGAAAACUUUACUCACUUAAUAAUUUCCAGAACUUUUUCAACCCUUUAACUGUUUUCACCCUUUCAACGUGGACAUCUUCCUUUCAGGAAAAAGCAAACGUAGAAUAUACUUUUUAGUUUUACAUGAUAUUAAAAUUGCAGAAAAAAUCAUUGUUCAUCAAUCGAUUGCUGUCCUUCAUAAGUCAUCAGUCUGCUCGACGUCAAGUCUCUUAGCGUUUAGUUUUUUAUAUUACGAAACCUAUUCUCGACAAGUCAAUUUCGAGACGGCACGUGUCUAGUUACGUUUAGCGUUUUUUGCGAGGUAAUCCUUUUUAAACCACGUAUCGUAUUUUACACGAUACGCUGAAAUAAGCAGAAAAAGAACAAAAAAAAAAUAGAAAUUUUCGAAUUUCCCAGUCGUUUGACGCGUGACUUGACUUCGAGCAUCAAAGCAAAACCAUCGCUCCCUCCUCCUUUGUUUUUUACUUUUUCACUAUCGACGAACGAGAACGGCAAAAAAAAUGAAUAAAUAAAUAAAAAGAAAAAAUGAAACGCAAUAGAUAAAUUCGACUACCCUAUAGAUAGUAUACAUAAUGAAUAAUAAAAUGAAAAAAAAAAGAACGGUAAAGUAUACAUAUUAUAUGUGUAUAUUACAAAUACAAAUUUAUAUAAUAUAUACACUUUACCAUAUAUAUAUUAUAUAUAUAUAUAUAAAUGGAAAAUGAUGUGUAUUGUAAGAUAUUUAAUACCGACUUGUCGUUAGGCACACCACGAUGAUCGAUCGCAAUGAAACGAUGAUAAUAAUUAUUACGAUGAUUGUUGUAUAACGAACGACGACGACGAUGGAUGAUGAUGAUAAUGUUAUUCUACAUUGUAAUUUGCGUUGUAACAUAGAGGCCCAACCGUUACCCACUAAAAAAUCGAUGUGUCGAUGUAUAAAUCCCGGACGUGCCUCGCUCGUGCACGAAAAUGAAAAAUGAAAAAUUGAAAAUUUAUAUUUGAAGCGAAUGUUGAACGUCGACAAAAUUUUAAUUACAAUAGAAAUCAAUUGUUCUUUUUUUUCUUUUCUAUGGGAUUGUAACUGAGAAUUGUAAUAUCCAACUACCAUCGUGAUUUAAAUUAAAUGGGACUUUUUAUUUCAAUGUUGUUUUUGUGUUGUAGAAAUGAACAACGAGUGCAGUACGUCCGGCAGCAACUAGCAAUAAUAUAACAUUCCAACUUAAAUCGUGUACGUACUGCGAAUUCUAAUAAUGUGUGCCGCCGUACGAGAGAGAAAAACACUGUCAAAUACACGCUCAUACACUGCUACAUCUGUGUGUGCUACCCAAAGUGGGCGAUACCAUCCCCUUUUAGGUGCUAGAACGAUUUAUGGGGGAUGGAAGUAGGCUCAGAUGAAAUUGGAGAGUGUAAAUUGGUCACUGCAUCUUUGUGUUCAGUUAAAAAAAUUAUAUUUUCCACAAUGCAGAGUGCCAAUCUGAAAGGGUUGGGCGAAACUAUGUACAUCUACCUUCAAGGGUGGCACGUGGAUAAGCACUCUGGAAUUGCAACACCAUCAAUCUUCCUCAGAUAAUUAUACCAAAAAGGUGGAUGUAUAUUUCGAAAGUUGCAACACCCCUACGAUUUUCAGCUGCGAGCAGCCACUGGCUAAUUUACAAAGAAAACGACGUUGAAGACCAUGGGUGGUGGUGAUUCAGAGGGAUGCAGCUGGUCCUGGGGCUCCUGGAAUUUCGGACGGAGGUUGUUCGCGUUCAUCGAUCUCGACGUUUCAGCUCUUGAAUCAUCAGAGACAGUAGCUAUCGGCAGAAGAGAACAGAAGCAGCAGUCUUUCUCCGAAUGGAACCGUAACGAAUAACGUACCACGAAUGAGAACCGCUGUAGUCAACUGUAUCAUAUUAGUGGCAGUAAUUACAAAUCAUUGGAGAAACUGGAACUGGCCAUUCAACCUUUUCAGUCUGUCGGCUUGGUAAGGAUGAUUUCUACUCGUAUUUUCGCUUCUCUUUAUAUUUCGUUUCGCUCCCUUUACAAAGCUUGCGUACCGCUUUUCUCAUCGCUUAUGAUAUUGAUAGUGGUAGAGAUCUAUCGGAAAUAAAAUAUAUACUGAUUCGAAUUUUCUAACUUUUUCAAAUUUAUAGAAAUAUAAAUAAUAUUUUAUUAAAAAAAGAAAAUAUCAUAAGGUAUUGAGAAAGCUAUAAUAUAGUAGGAUAAGGUAAUGAUAUUUUGAAAACUGGAGGAUCUUCAGAAAUUUCAAGGUAAUAUAAGGUAAUAAAAAAUUAGGAAUUAUUAUCAUUGACAUGACUUGGACCUUUCUCUAGGGUGGGUCAGGUCUCAGAAAUUUAGAAAUUUAGAAAUUUUGAGAUGAUAAAGAUCCACAUUUUUGGGCAAGGGCCAGUCUAGAUGUUUAAGGGUGCCACCCUGACCCCUACCUCGUCAGACCAAUGAUUAUUAUUCGAUAUAAUAAUUAUUUUUAAUUUAUUACACGAGUUUAAUUUGAAAGGUUGAUACAAAAACAUUUCAUUCAUAGGAAAAUACAUAUUUCAACACGAUCGCACGUGUUCGUGUAUGUAUCAGGAUCCAGCUUCUUCGAUAAAAAAAUUCCAUUAAUAGAAAACCGUGACAUUGCGGGAAGCGAAGGCUUUUAUUGUCCCCCAAUAAUUCGUGGCAUUUGUUUCGCUAAGAUCCGGCGGAAAAUUGAUUCAACGAGAGCCCAGAACUACGGCAAGCGGCUUUUCCGGCGUUGACACGAAAAAUGGAAGGCUCCAUUCUCCGGCGAAGCCUGACAAAUGCGGUCUAUUUGUAGCAGGCUGGGUUAAAAGGGGAUUGAUUUAUCGGUUCGCAUCUUCUCGUUGGUGAUUUUUCGUAUCGGCCACCGUAUUUAUGAGACGAUACCGCAUCGUAUUAAUGGGUCCUUCUGUACGGUACCAGCCGGUCGUAUCGAUACCACGAUCUUGUCUCGAAUCUCGGCCUAUCGAUACGUUCCAAUCUGAUCGGCCUACCUGCGAUGGCCACCUUCCCACGCGACAUCUCUGUAUCUUCAACUUGUACGGUACAUACAGUCCGUCUCACAAGAGUGUAUCCAUAAUUAUAAUGAAUUAAUUAAGAAUUACAGGUGUUUCAAUAUACUGCUAAUUGGUAAUGAUAAUAGCACAGCUACGUGACCUAUGGGAUAUUUAUAACUCCAUCAGUUAUUUCUAUAAUAAUAAUAAUAAUCUAUAAUAUUAUAAUGAUUAAAUAAUUGUAAUGAAAAUUUUACUUGUAAGCAGCGUAGAAAAAUUAUUAAAAAAUAUUCUAAAAUAUUGCCAUAACAGUGGAAAUUAGACUAAUUAUGAAAGGAUUAAUUGAAGUACCAUAUACUAAAAUAAAAUUGCAUGCCAUUUGCAAUAAUGUGAUAAUAUACCAGUGGUAUAAACCUAAUUGACCGAUAGGGUAAAUUAACAAAUACUUUUCAUACGAUACAUAUUUCAAUUCAUGCGCAACAUUUUACACGGUAGAUAAAUUUUCACGAAGAUAUCGUGGCCAAGCUCUUGUGAGACAGACUGUAAGUACACUCAGGGACCUCCUGGUAGCAUGUUUUAUCGUAUUGCGUUAUUUCACGGCGAAUGACAUCAGGGUAUAUCGUCCCCGCAUUAAUGACGUUCUUACCGAUUGUGAGAUACGUCUUGUUUUCCCCGUUGGAGAUCCGAGAAGAGACUCGAUAACGGGUUGGUCGUCUCCUCCACGAGGUGGUCAUCCCGUCCUUACCAAUUUCGGUACAACUCUCAAUCACGAGGUUACAUUGGUCGUGCAAAGGGAAAGGCCAUAAUUUUCCUCGGCUUUUUGAAAUCCGAUAAUGUUCAUUUCAGUUGAGAUCGUGAUUAGAAAGGGUUGUCAACAGUCAUUUUUAUCAAAUUUUCAAUUACCAGUCUUGUUUUGCAGCACUUUUAUGUCCUGUGUUUCGAAUUUCUGUGUUUCGAAAUCGGUUAUUUGAUAUGAUACGACCGGACAUAACUGCGGUCCAUGCACACCGUUUGUAAGUUACAUUAUUUUGUAAGUUAUGCGAUAGUUUAAAACGAUUCCUAUCUGCGUUAAAAGCAAAUAAAAUGAAACUCGUGUGAGUAAUCGUAACAUCAGCGUAUACAUGGGAUGUUCGUAUUGAACGCAUUAAAGUAUAAACGAGGUAGUAUUGUCAGUUUUGUACUGAAAUCGGUUUAUAUCUUUAUAAUGCAUCUGUUUACAACCGUAGUUGUUUUACAAAUUCGAUUAGAGUAAUGUUCCAUGUUCCAGGGUUUCAGGUUUAUAUAAAAUAAAUUAGACAUUCUUUUUCUAUGUGAAAAAAAUUUAAUAGAAAUUAAAUUAGGGGAUGAAAUGGUAAUGAAAUUUUAAUUACAAUUAACAUUUAGUAAAUCUUUUAUCAUUCGAAGCUCACCUGUAUUGAAAAAUAAGUAUUUAUUUUAGAAAACACCAAUUUCUUACCUUGACUCAUGUAAUUUGUUAAUUGUUACAUGGAAUUUUCAAUUCCAAGACAUGUCACGUUUAACAAAACUAACAUUUUAGCACCAGGAUAAGUUUGUAUACGAAGGUAAACGUUGGGUGACGCUUUGCAGUGCUAUUUUUUAUCCUUUUUAUCGAGAUGAAGCAAUCCGGAGUACAAUACAUUGUUAGCGUUACUAAUUACAACGAGAAGCUGCGUUUCAAGUCGAAGCUAAUUUAAGGCGGCGCUAAUUUACCGUUGUAUUUGAACGUACUAUUAGACACGCACGUGCUGCGUGUAAUACUCACGAGUGGAUCCACCGACUCGAUGACACGCGUAAAACAUUCCUCGACCACUUGAACUUAGAACUCAAAAUUUUACUGGCAAUAUCUACGUACACGUAUACGUACACCUGGGACAAGUGUAUGUACGUCAUAUUCGUUCAGCUUGUAAUUACGAUUUGUUUCUACAAUGGCUAGUUUCCUAUAGUGGGCUGUUUACCAAACGUUUACGAUCUACCUUCAUAGAAAUUCAAAGAAGAUCAUUAUCUUUUCAGAUAAACACAAUAUACGAGCUUACUGGCAUUCUACCAAGAACUAUUAACAAUUAUGGUUUAUUCACUACCUGUAAACAAAUUGACAUUCUUAUGAAGUAUCUUUAAUUUUCUUUUACCGUAAUAUGUAAGGAUUGGUCAGUUUGAUUACAGAAUCGAAAAUAUCGUACAAGAUAAGAAUUAAAGUUAGAUCUAUACAACGAGUUUUAUCAUUAAGGAAUUUAAUCGCGUGAAAUAAAACACGUAUAAUUUGAACCCUUCUUUUAAUUCUUUUCGAGGCGUAGCGAUUCAGUUAUCAGCGAUUUAAUUAUCACCAAAAUUCUGUGUUUUUCGAGUGCCUUGC